GCAAAACUGGCUUCUGAAAAAGACGAGCCCAAACACAGAAUAGAGAGAAGAAGUAUUACCCUUUUGGAGAAGCGUGAGCCCUAGAGCUCUUUUCGCCAUAAUUUUCGUCAUCAUCGACCAGCUCCUAAGGCUAGAGCAAGCAAUUCACGAUUUUUUUCGGUCGAAAGGAAUGGGCACCCCUUUUUGCGAACCCUUUUUGCGGCUCCAUCUCAGCCAUCAAAGUGAUCUCAACGGCUGGUUGAAAAAGAGGGCUUACAAUAGAAAUGGGCACCCCUUUUCUAAUCCCGCCUUUUUCCAUCCAAUCGCGCCUAUUUUUUUCAGACUCCCUCUUUUUCCUCUCAAACAAAUUCUCCUUUCUCUCUCACCUGUUUAUUCUCUGUGUUAGUGGCAAUUAGGUUAGGGUUGAUAACCGUUACUGUUCACGUUUUUCCCAUCUCCUUCACCUCCUCCACGCACAUAGUACCCAAACACCGACAUCGCCUCCCUCAAACAUCUAUGAAUCCCAAGAAAAUCUUCAAGUUUUUAGAAUUCUAACCUUCAAAUAUAUUUCUUAGAAUCCUAAUUUUAAUUUUUAAUUAUUUUUAUUGUUUGUGUUCAUUCUCUCUCACGACUGCCUUCCUUGCCCGCCAGUGUAGGAGGUCGAGUGAGGGGCCUGUCUUGGGCCUGUUUCCCUGUUACUUGGAUCUGUUACUCUAUUUUGCUGUUUCAGUGUUUCAGCUUUUGUUGAUGUUUGGGAUCGUGAUAUGUUUUUCCGUAGACUAGUUUUGGCCUCGACGGCUCUCUGUCUCGCUGGUGGUUCGCUCGGUCUCGCGCUCUCUCUCCAUGAGCCUCCCUUCAUCCAUGGAUCCAUAGUUCAGUUGUUGGUUUUUUACUGCGAACCUACACUGAGUUUUGCCCGUGCUUUCCAUUCUGGUGAGGUAUAUGCUAGAGGUUGCAAAUGCAGAGCUCGAGGAAGCCAAGCUCAGCAAGGAAACUACUGAGCAAGAUCUUAAAGGAUACGAAGUUGCUCCUCUGAGUAGAGAAGGUUUUGAUAAUCUAUCAAAUUAAGCUUAAUCUGAGUGUAAAUGGGACUGAGAGUUCAUGUGUGUUUUGAUUGUAGGGCUGCGUUAGUACUCAAGAGGUUUUCACGCUAUCCAACUCCGAUUUAGUUCCUGGGAAAUAUGAAGAUGUAUAGAGUUCUUCCUAUCUUUUGUUUGCUUUGUUAAUAGUGAUUCAAUAAUUAAAAAUGACACUAGAUUGAGUUUUUAAUAUUCUGCAUUACAAAUGUUUAUCUUAUUUAUGAAAUGCUGUUGCACCAAAUGGUGAUAGUAUGGUUUUUAAAUUAUCUGUGAAAAUCAAUAUUUUUUUGUAUAUAUAUUCGGUAUUUAAUUGUAUAAUGAUCUGUAAAUUAUGACUGUCAAAUUCCCUUGAAGUUCCAUUUUUUGAUCAAAUUAGGCACUUUUCAGUUCAGUUGUUGGUUUUUUACUGCGAACCUACACUGAGUUUUGCCCGUGCUUUCCAUUCUGGUGAGGUAUAUGCUAGAGGUUGCAAAUGCAGAGCUCGGGGAAGUCAAGCGCAGCAAGGAAACUACUGAGCAAGAUCUUAAAGGAUACGAAGUUGCUCCUCUGAGUAGAGAAGGUUUUGAUAAUCUAUCAAAUUAAGCUUAAUCUGAGUGUAAAUGGGACUGAGAGUUCAUGUGUGUUUUGAUUGUAGGGCUGCGUUAGUACUCAAGAGGUUUUCACGCUAUCCAACUCCGAUUUAGUUCCUGGGAAAUAUGAAGAUGUAUAGAGUUCUUCCUAUCUUUUGUUUGCUUUGUUAAUAGUGAUUCAAUAAUUAAAAAUGACACUAGAUUGAGUUUUUAAUAUUCUGCAUUACAAAUGUUUAUCUUAUUUAUGAAAUGCUGUUGCACCAAAUGGUGAUAGUAUGGUUUUUAAAUUAUCUGUGAAAAUCAAUAUUUUUUUGUAUAUAUAUUCGGUAUUUAAUUGUAUAAUGAUCUGUAAAUUAUGACUGUCAAAUUCCCUUGAAGUUCCAUUUUUUGAUCAAAUUAGGCACUUUUCAGUUCAGUUGUUGGUUUUUUACUGCGAACCUACACUGAGUUUUGCCCGUGCUUUCCAUUCUGGUGAGGUAUAUGCUAGAGGUUGCAAAUGCAGAGCUCGGGGAAGUCAAGCGCAGCAAGGAAACUACUGAGCAAGAUCUUAAAGGAUACGAAAUUGAUGUUCUUAAUUUUCUUAGGCUUUAAUCGAAUCUUCAAUGCAGUCAAGGAUUUCUCUGACUCAAGACGAGAUUUCCACAGUCGGAUCGGAUUUGGAUGCUCUUAAGAACAAAAAAGGGGCUUCACGAGAUGAGUUUAUUAGCCAAAUGGUUGAGAUCAACACUCAGAUAAGAAGAAGAUCCCAAACUAGUGAAGGAGGAGGUUACUGAAGGUGCUUUAGGAACACUUGAGGAUAUGCUUGCUGGUAUAAUAUCUCAGACAACCGAAGUGGAAGAAGAAUGCAAAUCAGAACAGAAUAUUCAAAAGCAGGUCCAGCAGUCGCUGAUUGAUUGUGAAAGGAAGGUAUUCUUGAUGGAGGAGAUGUUACAAGCAACAAAAGCAUUGCAAGACUUGACAAGAUAUCCUUUCCAAGAUUGCGUUGGUUACUGAACUUAAUCAAUGGUUAAGCACAUUAUAUAUUAUUCCUCUGGACCAUGUAGAAAAUUAGAAUGCAAAGAAAAUUGCCCAUCUCAUGUAGAAAAUUAGAAUGCAAUGUGCUAAUAUUUUAUUCUAUCACCCGAAAUGAUGCACCAGGGAUGCCCUAGUGCAUUCGUUAUGACACUUUUAUGAAACUUGUUUAGUGCAUUCGUUAUGACACUUUUAUGGAACUUGUUUUGGCAGCGUGAUACUUGUAGAA